AAUGAAUCCACCAAAUUUUGAACUGUUUUCAGUUUCCAUCCUCUUCCCCAUGGGGGACACAGACCAAAGGACUCAAUAGUUUUACCAUGUGAAUUUUAUGAAUGUGCUUAUCCUGAUAAAUACAAAAAAGAAACAGUUGUAGACAAUAUUUUAAGCUGAAAGGAAAACUUUUUAAAACAAUUGAGUAUGGGAAAACUUUUUAAAACACUGAGUAUGUAUGUUCGUAAAAAGAGCUCCAUAAAGGUGACCAACCCUGUACUCUCUCUCAUGAUAGAAAAUAAAUACACUUGAUGAAUGCAACAGACACCGAUGACAAUGAGAAGCACACUAUACACUAAUGACAAUGAGAAGCACACUAUGUAAAUGAAAGAAAACAGUUUUUG
rnacentral:misc_RNA from 1 species